GAUGAACGCUGGCGGCGUGCCUAAUACAUGCAAGUCGAGCGAACGGACGAGAAGCUUGCUUCUCUGAUGUUAGCGGCGGACGGGUGAGUAACACGUGUAUAACCUACCUAUAAGACUGGGAUAACUUCGGGAAACCGGAGCUAAUACCGGAUAAUAUUUUGAUCCGCAUGGUUCAAAAGUGAAAGACGGUCUUGCUGUCACUUAUAGAUGGAUCCGCGCUGCAUUAGCUUGUUGGUAAGGUAACGGCUUACCAAGGCAACGAUGCAUAGCCGACCUGAGAGGGUGAUCGGCCACACUGGAACUGAGACGCGGUCCAGACUCCUAAGGGAGGCAGCAGUAGGGAAUCUGACGCAAUAGGCGAAAGCCUGACGGAGCAACGCCGCGUGAGUGAUGAAGGUCUUCGGAUCGUAAAACUCUGUUAUUAGGGAAGAACAUAUGUGUAAGUAACUGUGCACAUCUUGACGGUACCUAAUCAGAAAGCCACGGCUAACUACGUG
rnacentral:rRNA from 1 species